UGGCCUCCGCCCUGGGUGAGACCUCACACGCGCCGAGGUGGAGCUGAGCACCCGGCAAGAUUACUGGGGACCAAAGCUUGUCUGGGGGGGGGGGCCGAGGACGCAGGAGGGGGUGGAGGGAACAGCUGGGCUGUGGGGCAGUCACCACGCAGGCCUCAGUCCUUGGGAUGUGGCUGCCCCCCCCCCCCGCCCCGGGGAGGAGGCAGGGAGCCCCACAGGGCCUCAGCCGGCAGCUACCAUCCUGGCCGAAUCCGGGGUCGGCAGAUUCCUGGGUCCCCGUGCGGGCUGGAUGGGGCGGCGCUGCACCUGCCACAUCUCCUCCGCGCCACGUCCCCCCACCAGUCCCUCAGCCGCAGCAGCUCUCUCUACACCUCGUCUGGAGGCAGGGAGGGGAGGCACCGGCCAAGCAGAGCAGGGAGGGGCCCGCCUGAGGGUCCCGGGCCUUUCCCCAGCCCUGCAGGCGACAGGGCCACUGGCCUGAGACUCCAGGCCACGGCACCCGGCCACUCCCCCACGUCAGAACCAGCGAACCAAGUAGUUCCUCCACGUUCACUCACGUUUCUCCUGGAACCUGCUGCUCCCGCAGGGUCGGACGGCUCGCUCCAUGCGCCCACCCUCCGGCUCCCCUGCACUCGCUCGGUCACCAAAUCCCGAGUCUCCCAUCGUACUCCUCGCAGGCGCCCCCAGCGGCCUGCACACCUGCUCCACUCUGCACGACCACGCCCCCUCCCUCUCAGAGGCACCUCCCGCCCCAGGCCGCCCCACCCUCUGUGGCGAGCAGGAGCGCAGGUUCUGUCCCUGCCCCCGCCUCACAAAAGGCAGCGAGCCAAUCAGGCAACGCGGGCGCUGCUGGGCGGGUUUCCUGGCUGUCAGGGAGAAAGCUGUAAAAUGGGCUCACGCAGCUCAGCUGAAUGUGCUGCCCGUGGGCGACGUGCGAGAUCCGGAGCACCUGGCGUUGCCACCACCACCGGCGCCUCGCCGUUCAGCCAGGGAGCCCAGCGUGUGUGUCUGUCUGCACUGGGUGUGAAAAAGAAUACAGACAAUAAGAGGGAGGUAAGCACCAAAGGGCUGUCAGUGGCCUGUUCAACAUGA
rnacentral:lncRNA from 1 species